GAUGAACGCUGGCGGCAUGCCUAAUACAUGCAAGUCGAGCGAACAGAUGAAGUGCUUGCGCUUCUGACGUUAGCGGCGAACGGGUGAGUAACACGUAAGGAAUCUACCUAUAAGCGGGGGAUAACAUUCGGAAACGGGUGCUAAUACCGCAUAAUAUCUUCUUCCGCAUGGAAGAAGAUUGAAAGACGGCUCUGCUGUCACUUAUAGAUGACCUUGCGGUGCAUUAGUUGGUGGGGUAAUGGCCUACCAAGACGAUGAUGCAUAGCCGACCUGAGAGGGUGAUCGGCCACAUUGGGACUGAGACACGGCCCAAACUCCUACGGGAGGCAGCAGUAGGGAAUCUUCCGCAAUGGGCGAAAGCCUGACGGAGCAAUGCCGCGUGAGUGAAGAAGGCCUUCGGGUCGUAAAACUCUGUUAUAAGAGAAGAACAAAUUGUAGAGUAACUGCUACAGUCUUGACGGUAUCUUAUCAGAAAGCCACGGCUAACUACGUGCCAGCAGCCGCAGUAA
rnacentral:rRNA from 1 species